rnacentral:rRNA from 1 species
CUGCGAAUGGCUCAUUAUAUAAGUUAUCGUUUAUUUGAUAGUACCUUACUACUUGGAUAACCGUGGUAAUUCUAGAGCUAAUACAUGCUAAAAAUCCCGACUUCGGAAGGGAUGUAUUUAUUAGAUUAAAAACCAAUGCCCUUCGGGGCUCACUGGUGAUUCAUGAUAACUCCUCGAAUCGCAUGGCCUUGUGCCGGCGAUGGUUCAUUCAAAUUUCUUCCCUAUCAACUUUCGAUGUUUGGGUAUUGGCCAAACAUGGUUGCAACGGGUAACGGAGGGUUAGGGCUCGACCCCGGAGAAGGAGCCUGAGAAACGGCUACUACAUCCAAGGAAGGCAGCAGGCGCGCAAAUUACCCAAUCCCGACACGGGGAGGUAGUGACAAUAAAUACUGAUACAGGGCUCUUUUGGGUCUUGUAAUUGGAAUGAGUACAAUUUAAAUCCCUUAACGAGGAACAAUUGGAGGGCAAGUCUGGUGCCAGCAGCCGCGGUAAUUCCAGCUCCAAUAGCGUAUAUUAAAGUUGUUGUGGUUAAAAAGCUCGUAGUUGAACCUUGGGCCUGGCUGGCCGGUCCGCCUCACCGCGUGUACUGGUCCGGCCGGGCCUUUCCCUCUGUGGAACCCCAUGCCCUUCACUGGGUGUGGCGGGGAAACAGGACUUUUACUGUGAAAAAAUUAGAGUGCUCCAGGCAGGCCUAUGCUCGAAUACAUUAGCAUGGAAUAAUAGAAUAGGACGUGUGGUUCUAUUUUGUUGGUUUCUAGGACCGCCGUAAUGAU